UGACACUGAAGAUGUCAAGAUGAGCCCUAAAAAGUUCCAUAAGCA
rnacentral:tRNA from 1 species